ACUUAAAUAGCUUAUAUAGAGCGUAGUAUUGAAGAUACUAAGGAGAUGUAAUAUUUUUAAGUA
rnacentral:tRNA from 1 species